rnacentral:rRNA from 1 species
GAGUGGCGAACGGGUGAGUAACACGUGGGUCCCUUACCUCUUAGCAGGGGAUAACAUUUGGAAACAAGUGCUAAUACCGUAUAACACUAACAACCGCAUGGUUGUUAGUUGAAAGAUGGUUCUGCUAUCACUAAGAGAUGGACCCGCGGUGCAUUGGCUAGUUGGUAAGGUAAUGGCUUACCAAGGCGAUGAUGCGUAGCCGAGUUGAGAGACUGAUCGGCCACAAUGGGACUGAGACACGGCCCAUACUCCUACGGGAGGCAGCAGUAGGGAAUCUUCCACAAUGGGCGCAAGCCUGAUGGAGCAACGCCGCGUGUGUGAUGAAGGGUUUCGGCUCGUAAAACACUGUUAUAAGAGAAGAACGACAUUGAGAGUAACUGUUCAGUGUGUGACGGUAUCUUAUCAGAAAGGAACGGCUAAAUACGUGCCAGCAGCCGCGGUAAUACGUAUGUUCCAAGCGUUAUCCGGAUUUAUUGGGCGUAAAGCGAGCGCAGACGGUUAUUUAAGUCUGAAGUGAAAGCCCUCAGCUCAACUGAGGAAGGGCUUUGGAAACUGGAUAACUUGAGUGCAGUAGAGGAAAGUGGAACUCCAUGUGUAGCGGUGAAAUGCGUAGAUAUAUGGAAGAACACCGGUGGCGAAAGCGGCUUUCUGGACUGUAACUGACGUUGAGGCUCGA